GACGAAGGGGGCUAGCGUUGUUCGGAAUUACUGGGCGUAAAGCGCGUGUAGGCGGCUAAGUAAGUCGGGCGUGAAAUCCCACGGCUCAACCGUGGAAGUGCACUCGAAACUGCAUAGCUAGAGUCCUGGAGAGGAAGGUGGAAUGCUUGGUGUAGAGGUGAAAUUCGUAGAUAUCAAGCGGAACACCGGUGGCGAAGGCGGCCUUCUGGACAGUGACUGACGCUGAGACGCGAAAGCGUGGGGGAGCAAACAGG
rnacentral:rRNA from 1 species